CCAUUCCGAACACAGAAGUUAAGCUCCUUAGCGCCGAUGGUACUUGGAGGGAAGCCUCCUGGGAGAGUAGGACGUAGCCACGU
rnacentral:rRNA from 1 species